rnacentral:tRNA from 1 species
GCGGAUGAAUUCAAGGUGAAUCGCUGCCCUUCCAAGGCAUGCUGAUAGAGUUCGAUUCUCUACAUCCGCUCCA